CGUCGAGCUAGAGCCGGUCUCCAGAAGGAUGCUCUCCCUCCAGACUCUAGACGGCUCUCCUUCCCUGGACGGCACCGCGGGCGGAGUGCGGUGGUUUGCAAGGUGCGUCUGCUGGUUUGGCCUGGACUCAGAAUGCUGGAUGCUGGCAAGUCAUUGGAUUGGAAGUUCCUGAGCCCUAAGGUGGAAGGACCCCUUAACUCCUUUCCCAUGAGACAGGACAGAGGGAUUGGACAAGACCUCAGAGCUGUCCUCAAGACCUGAAGAAUCGAUUCAUCACCCUUGCUUCACCUCUGACAAUCAGCUCCCAGCUGGACCCCUAAACCAUGGUGUCUUGUGAUUUUUCCCUGUGAAAUCUGUAACCUAUAUUCCUUUUGGAAGUCGGGCUUUCAUAUUAGCUCCCUGACU